rnacentral:rRNA from 1 species
UUGACCUCGGAUCAGGUAGGAGUACCCGCUG